CCCGCAACCUCAUGGUUCCUAGUCGGAUUCGUUAACCACUGUGCCAUGACGGGAACUCCUAAUUUUAUCAUUUCUAAUGAAGAUCAUCAGAAGAAAAUUUUGAUUUUUUUAGCUCAUACAAUAAAUGUACAAAGAAAUGUAAUGGCUUAAUAGCUUCUAGAUACAUACAAGACUUCUAGCCUUUCUCAAAUCUCAAAUAUCUGUUUGAUCAUCAUUUCAAUGGCUAAUGAAUAGCUAGCUAUUACACAUUUGAACUAUAGACAAAAAUGUUAUCUGUUUUUACUAUGCACUAUAAUUUUCAAAGCAAUUUCUCACAUUCUUCCAUUUAAUUUUUAAAACAACUCUAAGAUGUAGGCAAGCCAAAUAUUAUUAUCCUAAUUGAUGUUGAGGCAAAACAGAUCCAGAGAAAUUGUGUGCUAGACUGUAUUUUGUCACUUGGAUUCAGAGAGGAACUGUAAGUCCUAGAAUCUACUCAUUUACAUAGGUAUGGGCUACAAUUGCCCAAAAUGGAACUUGCAUGAGAUGUGGGACACUGGAUAUUGCUCUCUAUAGGUCACUUUAAACAAUGUUGAUGGACAGGUGGAGAAGGUCUGGCGGCAAGUUGCAGCUUGUCUUUGUUCCCCUCUAUUGCAUGUCCGACUCUUCCUGACUGCCGACCCUGCUGGCCAACAGUCAGUCCAGAUAUUGCUACAUGUUUGGCUGCAGAACCCCAGAGACAAUAGCUACCCAGUAGCAACAGCUUCGCAGGACCUCUUACAAGCGUCCUCUUUAUAGCAAGCUCUUGAUCUGCAAUCUGCUGAUACUUUCUUGAAUCCCUGCUGGUGUGAUGGGUUGCCUGACACUGGAAUCCAACCCAUCUGACUCUCUCUGUUCCAUGAUGAUUUUUGGCCCACUUUCAUGAGUCACAGACCCAGCUGACAAAAUAUUUAUGGUAUAUGGAAACUGAGCACAAAUAAAAUAUAGAAUACAAUCUGAAGGUUAGUAUGAGACCAUACGACCAUACUCAGUUUCCCUGACUAUUCAGAUCAAUGUCAGGCCUCAUAAAAUUUUUAGUCCAAAAAAGAAGCCAAGGGUAAUAAAGUGACAUUCCAUCUCAAACAACAAGAAGACAGUAAGGUGUCGUCUACAAAGUCAGCAAAAACCAAGUCAGAGGAACUGUCAGGAACACCCACCUAUCAUAGAACACAGUCUAAGGCACCAGAUUUAAUGACUUUUUCUGGAUUCUGCUAAAAUGGAAUGAAAUGUAAGUCACAGAAAAGUGUUUCCCUGGUUACAUAUAUUCAAUAUUAAUUUAUUUUAAGGAUUAGUUGCACAAAACAUAAAUGAGAAUUAGAAGAAUGCAUGGGUAAGAGAAAAAAAGGCAGUGGCAGCAUGAUCAGAUAUAUAUUAUAUACAUACACAUGCAUAUUACAUAUGUAUAUAUAUAUAUAAAUAUAAAUAUUAGGCUUCUAUGGGAGAAGACAUGAUGGAAAGAAAAAUAAAUGAGACAGAAUAGCAACUUGAGAAAGGUCUACACAGUGGGCCUGCUACACCGUGCUAGUUAGUUGUAUGCUUUCAUAAAUGUAUAAAAGAGACGCUUUAACAUAAACAAUAGAGCCAAGACAGAGUUGCCCUAUAGCUUCUUCACUCCAUGUAGACAUAAACCAAAAUACUGCAAAGCUCUUCUAAAUAGAUCAUUCAACAAUUUCUUCUAAAACUCUACCCUCUCUCUUUACAUGUAGUGGAAGUAGUGGUGAAGUUGAACAUUUCUAUUAAGUUAGACUAAAAAACAACCCACUAUUACCAUCUCUUCCAGAUUAGGGAACAAUGUUAAUAAUAACCAUCAGUUAUUACUAUAAGAAUCACAUACCAUUUAGGCCUCAGGAAGAAGACAGUGUCUAGAUUGGAACCAAAUAAAGACAAAGAUGAUCUCUUUUACUCAAGAGUUGUCAGAAAUGACCUGAAUUAUUUGAGAGCUCAGAAUGUUCUGAUAUAUUAAAAAUAAUGCUCUGCCACAUCCAUAAACCCAAUUCAAACACACGGUUAAAUAUAGCAUAUACAUGUUAUUGUCUAAAAUAUCAAAUAUCUUAAUAUAUCUUUUAGGGGCGAGUGCCUUUUGGAUAAUAUACAUUUUACAUCUCUAUGAAGAGUUGGGAAGGACAGAUGUCACAUGAAGGAUGGAAUUACUACAUUUUGUUCACAAAUAUAGUGAGUAGUUUAUACUAUAUGCAAUAUUGAUUUUAUCUUAGCUAUCAAAUAUUACCCCAAAUAAAUCUGAGUUGCACACCAUAUUGAAAGUGGCAGUGGACAGUCUUUCCUAUGUAACACCUAGUCAUCCCAUUUCAAUUUCUAAAUUUAUAAUGAUUCAUUUUAGUUACAUUUCUUAGAGCUCUCUCUCAAUGAUCUGUGCAAUUUAGAAUUUAGAAUUCCAUCCCCACUCAGUAUUGAAAAAGAAGGCCAGAUGGUGGGAAAGUGGGGGUGGGGCAUGGGGAGCUGAGUAGCACAUUCACUGAGAGUGUGGCCCCUAUAGUUAGAGUGAGUGAAAUGGAUUAGUUCUGGCUAAUGGCCCUACCAGGGCCACACCCAGGCUAGGGGUCAAAUCAGAGCUGUAACUCCUGGCCUGUGCCACAGCCACACCAGAUUUGAGCCACAUCUAUGACCUACACCACAGCUCACAGAAAUGCUGGAUCCUUAACCCACUAAGUGAGGCCAGAGACUGAACCUGCAUUCUCAUGGAUGUUAGUCAGAUUCGUUUCUGCUGACCCACAACAGGAACUCUGAUAUUUAUUGUUUUUGACAUAGAGCUCUAUCUAUUUAGGUCUCUGAAAUAGAAUUACAUAUUUUUUUGUUUUGCUUUGGGUUUUUUUUUU